UUGGGUAGGGGAGCGUUCUGUAAGCGGAUGAAGGUGAAUCGAGAGGUUUGCUGGACGUAUCAGAAGUGCGAAUGCUGACAUAAGUAACGAUAAAACGAGUGAAAAACUCGUUCGCCGGAAGAUCAAGGUUUCCUGUCCAACGUUAAUCGGGGCAGGGUGAGUCGACCCCUAAGGCAAGGCUGAAAAGCGUAGUCGAUGGGAAACGGGUUAAUAUUCCCGUACUUGUAAUAACUGCGAUGUGGGGACGGAGAAGGUUAGGUUAUCAGGGUAUUGGAUAUCCCUGUUUAAGCCGGUAGGUGGGAAUUCUAGGCAAAUCCGGAAUUCUGAAUAACACCGAGAAGUGAUGACGAGGCUCUAAGGAGCUGAAGUAACUGAUACCACGCUUCCAGGAAAAGCCACUAAGCAUAGGUUAUUAUAAAUCGUACUGUAAACCGACACAGGUGAUCAGGUAGAGAAUACUCAGGCGCUUGAGAGAACUCGGGUGAAGGAACUAGGCAAAAUAGCACCGUAACUUCGGGAGAAGGUGCGCCGGCGUAGAUUGUAGCCCUUUACGGGUGAAGGUUGAACCGGUCGAAGAUACCAGCUGGCUGCAACUGUUUAUUAAAAACACAGCACUCUGCAAACACGAAAGUGGACGUAUAGGGUGUGAUGCCUGCCCGGUGCUGGAAGGUUAAUUGAUGAUGUAAUCGAAAGAGAAGCUUCUGAUAGAAGCCCCAGUAAACGGCGGCCGUAACUAUAACGGUCCUAAGGUAGCGAAAUUCCUUGUCGGGUAAGUUCCGACCUGCACGAAUGGCAUAAUGAUGGCCAGGCUGUCUCCACCCGAGACUCAGUGAAAUUGAAAUCGCCGUGAAGAUGCGGUGUACCCGCGGCUAGACGGAAAGACCCCGUGAACCUUUACUAUAGCUUGACACUGAACCUUGAAUUUUAAUGUGUAGGAUAGGUGGGAGACUUAGAAGCAGUAACGCCAGUUAUUGUGGAGUCAACCUUGAAAUACCACCCUUUAACGUUUGAUGUUCUAACGAAGCGCCCGAAACGGGUGUUCGGACAGUGUCUGGUGGGUAGUUUGACUGGGGCGGUCUCCUCCCAAAGAGUAACGGAGGAGUACGAAGGUUUGCUAAUCACGGUCGGACAUCGUGAGGUUAGUACAAUGGUA
rnacentral:rRNA from 1 species